rnacentral:rRNA from 1 species
GACGAACGCUGGCGGCGUGCUUAACACAUGCAAGUCGAGCGGAAAGGCCCUUUCGGGGGUACUCGAGCGGCGAACGGGUGAGUAACACGUGAGUAAUCUGCCCCUGGCUUUGGGAUAGCCACCGGAAACGAUGAUUAAUACCGGAUACGACCACUUCUCGCAUGGGAUGGUGGUGGAAAGUUUUUUGGCCAGGGAUGUGCUCGCGGCCUAUCAGAUUGAUGGUGAGGUAAUGGCUCACCAUGGCUUCGACGGGUAGCCGGACUGGGGGGGUGGCCGAGCACGCUGGGGCGUGGCCGCUGCCCAGACUCCUACGGGAGGCGGCAGUGGGGAAUGUUGGACAGUGGGGGGAAGCCUGAUCCAGCAACGCCGCGUGAGGGAUGACGGCCUUCGGGUUGUAAAGCUCUUUCAGCAGGGACGAGGCGCAAGUGACGGUACCUGCAGAAGAAGCACCGGCCAACUACGUGCCAGCAGCCGCCGUAA